rnacentral:misc_RNA from 1 species
GUUUAGAAUGAAUAGUUAAUGUUAAAGAGUUUUGACGUCAAAACAAAUACUUUUUUGACACUGACAUAUAAUAACUGAUCCUAUCUAAAAACAAACAUGCAUCAAAACAAGACACUUCACCCAAAAUUGGUGAACAGUCUCACGUCCGUCUUCUCCAAAUAUAAAACUUAAUGAAUAAUUAUUUCAGGUCACCCAUUUUUGGAUGAACAAUGCUUACUGUUUGAAACAAUCAACAAGAUGGCGCUGCGUG